GAUGAACGCUGGCGGUAUGCUUAACACAUGCAAGUCGAACGAAGAUUUUUAAUCUUAGUGGCGGACGGGUGAGUAACACGUGAGGAUCUGCCCUUAGGAAGAGGAUAACAGCUGGAAACGGUUGCUAAUACUCUAUACGCCGAAAGGUAAAAGGAAAUAUCCACCUUAGGAAGAGCUCGCGUCUGAUUAGCUUGUUGGUGAGGUAAUGGCUCACCAAGGCGACGAUCAGUAGCUGGUUUGAGAGGGCGACCAGCCACACUGGGACUGAGACACGGCCCAGACUCCUACGGGAGGCAGCAGUGGGGAAUUUUCCGCAAUGGGGGAAAGCCUGACGGAGCAAUACCGCGUGAGGGAUGAAAGCCUGUGGGUUGUAAACCUCUUUUCUCAAGGAAGAAAUUUUGACGGUACUUGAGGAAUAAGCAUCGGCUAACUCUGUGCCAGCCGCCGCCGUAA
rnacentral:rRNA from 1 species